rnacentral:rRNA from 1 species
UACGUAGGUGGCAAGCGUUGUCCGGAUUUAUUGGGUUUAAAGGGUGCGUAGGCGGUCCUAUAAGUCAGUGCUGAAAUAUCCCGGCUUAACCGGGAGGGUGGCAUUGAUACUGCAGGACUUGAGUAAAGUUGAGGUAGGCGGAAUUGACGGUGUAGCGGUGAAAUGCUUAGAUAUCGUCAAGAACACCUAUUGCGAAGGCAGCUAACUAAGCUUUAACUGACGCUGAGGCACGAAAGUGUGGGGAUCAAACAGG